GUCCUCGUGCGAAUGCUCUCCGAUCCACAGGUCAGAGUGUCCGUAAUCUGGAAUCACGACUCGAGCGUGGCUGAAUCCAGGGUGAUGCCGCUUCAUGAAUCCGUGCGCGCGGAGAGAGGUCUCUGGAGUGACGAGAAUGGGGCGGCCGCCGGAGAUAUACGUGGUGUGGACUGCUAGCCUCUCCGGAUGAGCCAUGUAAGUCUCCUCUUCUCCUUCACUGUCGACUAUGUGUCCCGCUAGAGCGAUUGAUCGCAAAUGUGGAAAUCCUGCCAUUGGAAGAACUGGCACUGCCUUCUUGUUCAGCCAGUCGUGCAUUUCUAGCCCGACGUUUUGGUGCCAGAAUGUGCUGCCGAAAAUUCCUGAGAAAACAUUGCAUUCAUCGCAGGGACAGCUUUCAGUGCGUGGUAUCGCUCGAGCGAUUGAGCGCAGUAGUCUGUGUCGCCACGGCAUUGAUUCUUCUUUAGGAGGACUUAUCGGCACGAUGGUGUUCUUUCCCAGGAUUUUCAUAGAAAUCUGUAGAAAAACGUAGAGAUGUAAUUCUCAGUUGGUAGAUGGCUAACGCAAAAAACUACUUACAGGGAUGAGAGGCAGAGUCAACUUCACGAGCGCUGAUGGAACCAAGUUGAAGAACAUGGACGAGUUUGUGCAAACUAGCGAUGCGAUCGACGAUGGAGGUAUGUGUCCACCCAUCAAGCUCAUGUGAAUUGAUAGUCCUCCUAUGCAGUGAGCAAUAACGUGUGCCGCUAUCUGCUUUUUCUUGACUUG
rnacentral:lncRNA from 1 species